ACCAUUGUCGUCCAGUGGUUUAGGAUGCCAGGUUUUCAAACACAUAUAUUGAUUCCCUGGAGACCGGGGUUCCAUUCCCCGCAAUGGUA
rnacentral:tRNA from 1 species